rnacentral:rRNA from 1 species
AUGUGGUUUAAUUCGAAGCAACGCGCAGAACCUUACCAGCCCUUUGGACAUCCCGGUCGCGGUUACCAGAGAUGGUAUCCUUCAGUUCGGCUGGACCGGUGACAGGUGCUGCAUGGCUGUCGUCAGCUCGUGUCGUGAGAUGUUGGGUUAAGUCCCGCAACGAGCGCAACCCUUCGCCCUUAGUUGCCAGCAUUCAGUUGGGCACUCUAAGGGGACUGCCGGUGAUAAGCCGAGAGGAAGGUGGGAUGACGUCAAGUCCUCAUGGCCCUUACGGGCUGGGCUACACACGUGCUACAAUGGUGGUGACAGUGGGCAGCGAGACCGCGAGGUCGAGCUAAUCUCCAAAAACCAUCUCAGUUCGGAUUGCACUCUGCAACUCGAGUGCAUGAAGUUGGAACCGCUAGUAAUCGCGGAUCAGCAUGCCGCGGUCGAAUACGUUCCGGGCCUU